rnacentral:lncRNA from 1 species
AUUAGGUGCCAAGAAAGGUGAGUUUACGAAAUGAAAGCCGAUAAUCGGGGGGGGCACAGCGAAGGAGAUCGGUCCUCUAAGCCAAGAGGUACAGCUCUUUCCCCUGCCCUAAAGGUGAAAUAAGAUAAUCUUUCACAGACCUGAUCUCGGGGAAAGGAGACAGCCAAAACAAAAGCAACCCCACCCACCAGUGGCUCACAACUGCUCCUCACACACUGCAGUAAGCGCCUGACGGCUUAGCCCCUGUUUACACUCACUACAAUAAUUGCAACACGACGCAUAAUGUUCAAAUUAGUUCUGAAAAAGUAUUUGUUCCACUUGUUUAUAUCCUCUAAAUCCUUGAAUCUUUGGACUCUGCUACGUGGAGGGAACUUGGCCAAGGGAUCUUUUUAAGAAAUACAUCUUAUAAGAGCCUUUCGGAAACAUCCCCAACAAGACAUCAUCAAGGCUGUGUGUGAGGGCUGACUCUCUUCAGGAAUCAACCAACUAGACCGUGGGAGCCCAGUUCUGGAGAACCUGAUUAACUCACUGGAGUAAAGCAUUUCCAAGAUGAUGUAUUCAGAGUCCACAUCCCCAAAGAAGUCUCAGGCCAAGCAAUUAGCAAACAGAGAAACUGAGAGCCAGAC